GUGAUUAUGAACGGUUGUCUUCUGUGCUGGCUGCGGCAAGUGCACGAUGAUGACUUUCAUCCAACACCCUUGUGAACCUUUGGCCUCUGGCUGGCUUCGGCUGGCUGAGGAUUUACACAAACUCGCAUGUAUUGAGGACCCUUCAUGUGCGCAAGCACUAUUAUAUA
rnacentral:misc_RNA from 1 species